GACGAACGCUGGCGGCGUGCCUAAUACAUGCAAGUCGAACGCUGAAGGAGGAGCUUGCUCUUCUGGAUGAGUUGCGAACGGGUGAGUAACGCGUAGGUAACCUGCCUGGUAGCGGGGGAUAACUAUUGGAAACGAUAGCUAAUACCGCAUAACAGUAGAUGUUGCAUGACAUUUACUUAAAAGGUGCAAUUGCAUCACUACCAGAUGGACCUGCGUUGUAUUAGCUAGUUGGUGGGGUAACGGCUCACCAAGGCGACGAUACAUAGCCGACCUGAGAGGGUGAUCGGCCACACUGGGACUGAGACACGGCCCAGACUCCUACGGGAGGCAGCAGUAGGGAAUCCUCGGCAAUGGACGGAAGUCUGACCGAGCAACGCCGCGUGAGUGAAGAAGGUUUUCGGAUCGUAAAGCUCUGUUGUAAGAGAAGAACGAGUGUGAGAGUGGAAAGUUCACACUGUGACGGUAGCUUACCAGAAAGGGACGGCUAACUACGUG
rnacentral:rRNA from 1 species